GUUGCGCGGGCGGGGAGCUGAGGCGCUGCAGCGCAGGCAGCUGGUUCAGCCUCAGAACUCAUGUAUAAAUGUGGGCAGGGAGGGUGCAAAGAGGAUGGAUCCAGGCUCUUCUUGGUGGAGCAAUAGGCAGCCGGCAGAAACCGAUGCACAGGAAGCUUCACGAAUAUGAGGAAAAACUUCUUUACCGUGCGGGUGACCAUGCACCAGAACAGACUGUCCAGCUCUGGAGACCUUCCAAACUAAGGUCAGUGAUUAAGAGCAGCUGCCGAAAGGACCAGACUGGAAUGGUGGCGGCAGCCGGGGCUGCGGCAGCAGAGAGGACCGGACCUGUAAUUGUCACUGAGGCUCAGUGCUGUACAAAUGUCUCGGGGAUUGAAAACCAUCCAGGGGCUUCCAGCCUAAUUGGAGCA